rnacentral:rRNA from 1 species
AAUUGAGACAGGUGGUGCAUGGUUGUCGUCAGCUCGUGUCGUGAGAUGUUGGGUUAAGUCCCGCAACGAGCGCAACCCUUGUGUUUAGUUGCAAACAGGUCAAGCUGUGCACUCUAGACAGACUGCCGUGGACAACACGGAGGAAGGUGGGGAGUGACGUCAAAUCAUCAUGCCCCUUAUGAUCUGGGCUACACACGUGCUACAAUGGCCGGCACAACGGGAAGCGAGUUCGCGAGGACGAGCGGAUCCCUCAAAGCCGGUCGCAGUUCGGAUUGAAGUCUGCAACUCGACUUCAUGAAGCUGGAAUCGCUAGUAAUCGUGGAUCAGCCAAGCCGCGGUGAAUACGUUCCCGGGCCUU